AGUGAACGCUGGCGGUAGGCCUAACACAUGCAAGUCGAACGGCAGCACAGUAAGAGCUUGCUCUUACGGGUGGCGAGUGGCGGACGGGUGAGGAAUACAUCGGAAUCUACUUUUUCGUGGGGGAUAACGAAGGGAAACUUACGCUAAUACCGCAUACGACCUACGGGUGAAAGCAGGGGAUCUUCGGACCUUGCGCGAUUGAAUGAGCCGAUGUCGGAUUAGCUAGUUGGCGGGGUAAAGGCCCACCAAGGCGACGAUCCGUAGCUGGUCUGAGAGGAUGAUCAGCCACACUGGAACUGAGACACGGUCCAGACUCCUACGGGAGGCAGCAGUGGGGAAUAUUGGACAAUGGGCGCAAGCCUGAUCCAGCCAUACCGCGUGGGUGAAGAAGGCCUUCGGGUUGUAAAGCCCUGUUGUUGGGAAAGAAAAGCAGCAGGUUAAUACCCCGCUGUUCUGACGGUACCCAAAGAAUAAGCACCGGCUAACUUCGUG
rnacentral:rRNA from 1 species